UUCGAGCUCCUCCAACCCCUGUGACAUACCAAUUGUUGCCUCGGCGGAUCAGCCCGCUCCCGGUAAAACGGGACGGCCGGCCAGAGGACCCCUAAACUCUGUUUCUAUAUGUAACUUCUGAGUAAAACCAUAAAUAAAUCAAAACUUUCAACAACGGAUCUCUUGGUUCUGGCAUCGAUGAAGAACGCAGCAAAAUGCGAUAAGUAAUGUGAAUUGCAGAAUUCAGUCAAUCAUCGAAUCUUUGAAAGCACAUUGCGCCCGCCAGUAUUCUGGCGGGCAUGCCUGUUCGAGCGUCAUUUCAACCCUCAAGCCCUCGGGUUUGGUGUUGGGGAUCGGCGAGCCCUUGCGGCAAGCCGGCCCCGAAAUCUAGUGGCGGUCUCGCUGAAGCUUCCAUUGCGUAGUAGUAAAACCCUCGCAACUGGUACGCGGCGCGGCCAAGCCGUUAAACCCCCAACUUCUGAAUGUUGACCUCGGAUCAGGUAGGAAUACCCGCUGAACUUAAGCAUAUCAAUAAGCGGAGGAA
rnacentral:rRNA from 1 species